rnacentral:rRNA from 1 species
GGGUUCGAUUCCGGAGAGGGAGCCUGAGAAACGGCUACCACAUCCAAGGAAGGCAGCAGGCGCGCAAAUUACCCAAUCCCAAUACGGGGAGGUAGUGACAAUAAAUAACAAUAUGGGGCUCUUACGGGUCUCGUAAUUGGAAUGAGUACAAUUUAAAUCUCUUAACGAGGAACAAUUGGAGGGCAAGUCUGGUGCCAGCAGCCGCGGUAAUUCCAGCUCCAAUAGCGUAUAUUAAAGUUGUUGCAGUUAAAAAGCUCGUAGUUGAAUUUCGGAGUUUGUCGGUUGGUCGGGCUUCACUGUCCGCACUGGCCUGAUGGAUUCCUACCUUCUGAAUAACCAGCAUGCUAUUAAGUUAGUGCGUUGGGGAAGCAGAGCUAUUACCUUGAAAAAAUUAGAGUGCUUAAAGCAGGCUUAUGCUUGAAUAGAUUAGCAUGGAAUAAUAAAAUAGGACGGCAUGGUUCUAUUUUGUUGGUUUCUAGGAUCACCGUAAUGAUUAAUAGGGAUAGUUGGGGGCAUUAGUAUUCAAUUGUCAGAGGUGAAAUUCUUGGAUUUAUUGAAGACUAACUUCUGCGAAAGCAUUUGCCAAGGAUGUUUUCAUUAAUCAAGAACGAAAGUUAGGGGAUCGAAGACGAUCAG